rnacentral:rRNA from 1 species
UCCGGAGGGGGCUCGCGUUGUUCGGAAUUACUGGGCGUAAAGAGUGUGUAGGCGGUGCUCUAAGUUCGGUGUGAAAUCUCCUGGCUUAACUGGGAGGGUGCGCCGGAAACUGGGGUGCUCGAGCGUGGGAGAGGAAAGCGGAAUUCCUGGUGUAGCGGUGAAAUGCGUAGAUAUCAGGAGGAACACCUGUGGUGUAGACAGCUUUCUGGACCAUUGCUGACGCUGAGACACGAAAGCGUGGGUAGCAAACAGG